rnacentral:rRNA from 1 species
GACGAACGCUGGCGGCGUGCUUAACACAUGCAAGUCGAGCGGAGCGGCCAACGGGUGAGUAACGCGUGAGUAACUGCCCCCCUCUCGGGGAUAACAGUUGGAAACGGCUGCUAAUACCGGAUAGUGGGGGAUGAAUCGCGUCCUAUCAGCUUGUUGGUGGGGUAGUGGCCUACCAAGGCGACGACGGGUAGCCGGCCUGAGAGGGGGACCGGCCACAAUGGGCUGAGAGAGGGCACAAACUGCGACGGGAUGCAGGAGUGGGGAAUAUGGCACAAUGGGGGAAACCGUGAGGCAGCAACGCGCGUGCGGAAUGACGGCUUUCGGGUUGGAAACCGCUUUCAGCCAUGACGCGGUAGUGGCAGAAGAAGCACCGGCUAACUACGUGCCAGCAGCCGCGGUAAUUC